rnacentral:rRNA from 1 species
CUACGGGCUGCUGCAGUGGGGAAUAUUGGACAAUGGGGGAAACCCUGAUCCAGCAACGCCGCGUGAGGGAAGAAGGCCUUCGGGUUGUAAACUUCUGUCGGAGGGGACGAACAUUUUUCUGGCUAAUAUCCAGGGGAACUGACGGUACCCUCAAAGGAAGCACCGGCUAACUCCGUGCCAGCAGCCGGGGUAAUACGGAGGGUGCAAGCGUUGUUCGGAAUUACUGGGCGUAAAGCGUGUCUAGGCGGGGUUGUAAGUCGGGUGUGAAAUCCCCCGGCUCAACCGGGGAGGGUCGCUUGAAACUGCAAGUCUUGAGUUCCGAGGGGGCGAGUGGAAUUCCCAGUGUAGAGGUGAAAUUCGUAGAUAUUGGGAGGAACAUCGGAGGCGAAAGCGAUUCGCUAAUCGGACACUGACGCUCAAGCACGAAAGCGUGGGUAGCAAACAGGAUUAGAUACCCUAGUAGUC